rnacentral:tRNA from 1 species
AGGUGAGUGACGCAGCUGGCCAAACGUGGCGGACUAAGAAUCCGUUGGUAAAGUCCUUCGUGGGUUCAAAUCCCACCUCACCUA